rnacentral:lncRNA from 1 species
UUGUGUCCCCGCAGCUGAGUGGCAGGUAGCAGAGGCCACGGCACUGGUGCACACGCUGGACGGCUGGUCCGUGGUGCAGACGAUGGUCGUGUCCACCAAAACGCCGGACAAGAAGCUCGUCUUUGGCAAAGGGAACUUUGAGCACCUGACAGGUGAGUCCGUCCACACCUGCCCCCUCCCCAGACCUCCUUUCCCGUCCGCUGCUCCCGAGAACAUUCAACCCGGACGCGUGGAAGGACGGGGGUCUCGCUGGGCCAGACGGGAGGCGGCCCCAUGAGUGGGUGGUCCAGGUGAGCUGGGAGCCCACGUCAGGAGGAGCCGGAGGCAUGGGAGGCUGGACCUGUGUCCCCGCCACACAGACUCUCUCAGCGUGGGGUCCCGCGUGGGGCCCUGGCGCUUCCAGGUUUUUGACCGUCCGGCUUACACUGCAGAGUGGGGAAGACCCGACCAACUAAUACUAGUACUUCUACUAACUAAGCUACUAACUAGCCGAGCUGGGAGUCUGCUUCCCUGCCUGACUCAGAGGCGUCUCAUCGGGGCUGGGAUGUGUUCACCAUGUCUCUGUGUGUGUGUGUGGCCCACCGUGUGUUCACCGCGUGUGUGUGCAUCUGUGUGUCCCCACUGGGAUGUGUUCACCGUGUGUGUGUCUGUGUGUCCCCACUGGGAUGCCUUCCCCGUGUGUGUGGGUGUGUGUCCCUGUCACGAUGUGUUCACUGUGUGUGUGGGGGGGGUGGGUCCCCACUGCGAUGUGUUCCGUGUGUGUGUGUGUGUGUCCCCACUGGGAUGUGUUCCGUGUGUGUGUGUGUGUGUAGAUGCAUCUGUCCGUCUCAGAAUGUGUUCACCGUGUGUGUGUGUGUGUGUCCCCACUGGGAUGCGUUCACCAUGUGUGUUUGUGUGUGUGUGUGUCCCUGUUGGGAUGUGUUUACCGUGGGUGUGUGUGUCCCCACUGGGAUGUGUUCCGUGUGUGUGUGUGUAGAUGCGUCUGUCCGUCUCGGAAUGUGUUCACCGUGUGUGUGUGUGUCCCCGCCGGGAUGCGUUCACCAUGUGUGCAUGUGUGUGUGUGAGAUGUGUGUGUCCAUGUUGGAAUGUUUACCUUGUGUGUGUGUCUCCGCCGGGAUGUGUUCACCGUGUACACAUCUGUGUACGUGAAACACACACCCCUAGAGACAGACCCCCUCCGACGCCGCUUUCCUGGAUCCUGGGUCUGGGGCUCAGGAAGUCGGGGACGUCUGUGAACUGCGCCC